GGUCUGACCUGCCCAAUGAGUUAUUUAAUGGCCGCAGUAUUCUGACUGUGCAAAGGUAGCAUAAUCAUUAGUUUUUUAAUUGAAGGCUAGAAWGRWWKGAUKAAURAACAASCGUCUGUCUCUUUAWWAUUUUAUUUGAAUUUUAUUUUUAARUUAAAAAGCUUAAAUGUUUAWAGAAGACRAGAAGACCCUAUAGAGUUUUAUAUUUAGAURAWGAAUUUUUAAAGGUUUAUUUAUUUUUUUAKUUGUAUAAAUAUUUARUUGGGGUGAUGGAAAAAUUUAUUUAACUUUUUUUUGCUAAUUACAUUAAUUUAUGGUUACUUGAUCCUUUAUUUAAGAUUAUAARAUUUAAUUACCUUAGGGAUAACAGCGUAAUUUUUUUUUARAGUUCUUAUCAAAARAAAAGCUUGCGACCUCGAUGUUGGAUUAAAAUUAAUUAUUGGUGCARAAGUUAAAUAAUUAGGUCUGUUCGACCUUUAAAAUUUUACAUGAUCUGAGUUUAAACCGGUGUGAA
rnacentral:rRNA from 1 species